CCUACGGGUGGCAGCAGUGGGGAAUAUUGGACAAUGGGGGGAACCCUGAUCCAGCCAUGCCGCGUGUGUGAAGAAGGCCUCGGGUUGUAAAGCACUUUCAGUGAGGAAGAACGCCUGGUGGUUAAUACCCAUCAGGAAAGACAUCACUCACAGAAGAAGCACCGGCUAACUCCGUGCCAGCAGCCGCGGUAAUACGGAGGGUGCGAGCGUUAAUCGGAAUUACUGGGCGUAAAGCGCGCGUAGGUGGCUUGAUAAGCCGGUUGUGAAAGCCCCGGGCUCAACCUGGGAACGGCAUCCGGAACUGUCAAGCUAGAGUGCAGGAGAGGAAGGUAGAAUUCCCGGUGUAGCGGUGAAAUGCGUAGAGAUCGGGAGGAAUACCAGUGGCGAAGGCGGCCUUCUGGACUGACACUGACACUGAGGUGCGAAAGCGUGGGUAGCAAACAGGAUUAGAUACCCUAGUAGUC
rnacentral:rRNA from 1 species